UUCCGGUUGAUCCUGCCAGAGGUUACUGCUAUCGAGAUUCGACUAAGCCAUGCGAGUCGAAUGUUCUUCGUGAACAUGGCGGACUGCUCAGUAACACGUGGACAACCUACCCUUGGGUCUGGCAUAAUCCUGGGAAACUGGGUAUAAUUCCAGAUAGGUCACAGAUGCUGGAAUGCACUGUGGCCGAAAGCUCCGGCGCCCAAGGAUGGGUCUGCGGCCUAUCAGGGUUGUAGUGGGUGUAACGGACCUACUAGCCUACGACGGGUACGGGUUGUGAGAGCAAGAGCCCGGAGAUGGAUUCUGAGACACGAAUCCAGGCCCUACGGGGUGCAGCAGGCGCGAAAACUUUACAAUGCGGGAAACCGUGAUAAGGGAAUCUCGAGUGCCAGCAUAUAAUGUUGGCUGUCCAGAUGCCUAAAAAGCAUCUGUUAGCAAGGGCCGGGCAAGACCGGUGCCAGCCGCCGCGGUAACACCGGCGGCCCGAGUGGUAACCGCUUUUAUUGGGUCUAAAGGGUCUGUAGCCGGCCAAGUAAGUCCCUUGGGAAAUCUGGCAGCUUAACUGUCAGGCUGCUAGGGGAUACUGCUAGGCUUGGGACCGGGAGAGGUGAGAGGUACCUUGGGGGUAGGGGUGAAAUCUUGUGAUCCUCGGGGGACCACCAGUGGCGAAGGCGUCUCACCAGAACGGGUCCGACGGUAAGGGACGAAAGCUAGGGGCACGAACCGGAUUAGAUACCCGGGUAGUCCUAGCCGUAAACGAUGCUCGCUAGGUGUCAGUCACGGUGCGACCGUGAUUGGUGCCGUAGGGAAGCCGUGAAGCGAGCCACCUGGGAAGUAUGGCCGCAAGGCUGAAACUUAAAGGAAUUGGCGGGGGAGCACUACAACGGGUGGAGCCUGCGGCUUAAUUGGAUUCAACGCCGGAA
rnacentral:rRNA from 1 species